rnacentral:rRNA from 1 species
CCUGAUGCAGCGAUGCCGCGUGAGUGAAGAAGGCCUUUGGGUUGUAAAGCUCUUUCGUCGGGGAAGAAAAUGACUAGUACCCGAAUAAGAAGGUCCGGCUAACUUCGUGCCAGCAGCCGCGGUAAUACGAAGGGACCUAGCGUAGUUCGGAAUUACUGGGCUUAAAGAGUUCGUAGGUGGUUAAAAAAGUUGGUGGUGAAAUCCCAGAGCUUAACUCUGGAACUGCCAUCAAAACUUUUUAGCUAGAGUAUGAUAGAGGAAAGCAGAAUUUCUAGUGUAGAGGUGAAAUUCGUAGAUAUUAGAAAGAAUACCAAUUGCGAAGGCAGCUUUCUGGAUCAUUACUGACACUGAGGAACGAAAGCAUGGGUAGCGAAGAGGAUUAGAUACCCUCGUAGUCCAUGCCGUAAACGAUGUGUGUUAGACGUUGGAAA